rnacentral:rRNA from 1 species
GAUGAACGCUGGAGGCGUGCCUAAUACAUGCAAGUCGAGCGAACGGACGAGAAGCUUGCUUCUCUGAUGUUAGCGGCGGACGGGUGAGUAACACGUGGAUAACCUACCUAUAAGACUGGGAUAACUUCGGGAAACCGGAGCUAAUACCGGAUAAUAUUUUGAACCGCAUGGUUCAAAAGUGAAAGACGGUCUUGCUGUCACUUAUAGAUGGAUCCGCGCUGCAUUAGCUAGUUGGUAAGGUAACGGCUUACCAAGGCAACGAUGCAUAGCCGACCUGAGAGGGUGAUCGGCCACACGGGAACUGAGACACGGUCCAGACUCCUACGGGAGGCAGCAGUAGGGAAUCUUCCGCAAUGGGCGAAAGCCUGACGGAGCAACGCCGCGUGAGUGAUGAAGGUCUUCGGAUCGUAAAACUCUGUUAUUAGGGAAGAACAUAUGUGUAAGUAACUGUGCACAUCUUGACGGUACCUAAUCAGAAAGCCACGGCUAACUACGUG